CUGGGACCCAGCCACCCCGGAGGAAACCGGAGAGGAAACCAGCUUGGUCUUGCUCUCUGCCUCGUCCCAAUCCCCGGCUCUUACCAAAUGCAGGCACAAUGACCAGGACAGUACCGAGCUUUACAGCCAUAUUGAACUCACCAUCAACUCAGCACAUUCAACUCAAUCAGUCAAAAUCGUCUUUUCCUGCUGGUAAAUAACACUGAAAUAUAAAGAGACUGAUCUCAGAGUGGUACAGAUCUACAACCACGUGAAGAAUUGGAUUUAUAUUCAUCUGACUCCAGAAAGUUCCUGAGAUUCCUCUGCUUCAUCAUCUUUCCCAUGCCCUUUAAAACACGUUAUCAAAUAGCAACAGGUGGUGCAAUAACUAGACAAAUGAUUCUCAGCCUUUUUCUUUGCCAUUAGCACUCCCGGAAGGAGACGUGUUGGACACUUUUCCUUGUCACCACCCCAUGAACCUUCCAUACCACAGGUAUACUGUGUAUUCGGUUAUGUAUCA
rnacentral:lncRNA from 10 species